ensembl:lncRNA
CCGCUCCCGAGGGCUUGGCUGUGUGGCCCGCCCAGGACCGGCGCGGCCCGGGCUCUGGGCUGGUGCUCAGCUGUGUGACGCUGUCAGCCUGCGACGGUGGAGGUCACUAACCAGCUCGGCACAGCAGGUCGUGAAAAUGCAGUCACCCUGCAGACCUUACCACCACCAAAAGGCUCCUGGAGACUCACCUGUGAGCCUCAAAGGCGGCGCAUAUUCAGGCCAGCUCCCCCCUCCCCCCCACCGAGUUACCCCAGCACAGAUGCCCUGGUGCUCUCACGGCUCACUGAGACGGCAUCUUUGUGGGCUUUGCGCAGUGUUUGGAGUUGAUUUCAAGAUGUUUUCAAGAGAAACGCCUUUUGUUCCCAGAGGUGACGCUGACCUCGAUCGUGCGUGUUCACUCCACCAGCCGGAGGGAGAGGAGAAGGUCUGAGCUGGCUGAGCACACACAGCUGAGCCACCGGAGUGUACGGUCCUGGCCAUCUCAGGAAGCCAAGGCUGAGCCAACCGUUCUCUAGGAGACUCUCAGAGGACCCAGGCUUUUUAUUCUGAAAUUGCAGAGGGGAGGAAGGAAGAGCAGCAAGCAGCAUCCACAGAUGCCUGGCACGGCCGCCGGGAGCAGAGAUCCCGAGGGGGUGACGGUCGCCAGGAGGCCCUGAGGGUGGCGGGCACAGGUGCCCUUCAGGGGUGUGUGGGGGGACAGAAGGCAG